rnacentral:rRNA from 1 species
AGCGAACGUUGGCGGCGUGGAUGAGGCAUGCAAGUCGUACGUGAAAGUCUUCGGACGAGUAAAGUGGCGAAAGGGUGAGUAACACGUAAUCAACUUACCCUCGAGACGGGGAUAACCGCUGGAAACGGUGGCUAAUACCCGAUACCGAUGCGGAAUCACAAGAUUCUGUUUCGAAACGGUGGGGAUCCUACGGGACCUACUGCUCGAGGAGGGGGUUGCGGCCUAUCAGCUUGUUGGUGAGGUAACGGCUCACCAAGGCUAAGACGGGUAGCCGGUCUGAGAGGAUGAUCGGUCACACUGGGACUGAGACACUGCCCAGACUCCUACGGGAGGCUGCAGUCGAGAAUCUUCCGCAAUGGACGAAAGUCUGACGGAGCGACGCCGCGUGAAGGAUGAAGGCCCUCGGGUUGUAAACUUCUGUCAGAGUUCAAAGAAACGGUGUUCAUGAAUAUUGGGCACCUUGACAUCAGGCUCAAAGGAAGCACCGGCUAACUCUGUGCCAG